rnacentral:rRNA from 1 species
GACGAACGCGGCGGCGUGCGUAAUACAUGCAAGUAGAACGCUGAAGGAGGAGCUUGCUUCUCUGGAUGAGUUGCGAACGGGUGAGUAACGCGUAGGUAACCUGCCUGGUAGCGGGGGAUAACUAUUGGAAACGAUAGCUAAUACCGCAUAAGAGUAGAUGUUGCAUGACAUUUGCUUAAAAGGUGCAAUUGCAUCACUACCAGAUGGACCUGCGUUGUAUUAGCUAGUUGGUGGGGUAACGGCUCACCAAGGCGACGAUACAUAGCCGACCUGAGAGGGUGAUCGGCCACACUGGGACUGAGACACGGCCCAGACUCCUACGGGAGGCAGCAGUAGGGAAUCUUCGGCAAUGGACGGAAGUCUGACCGAGCAACGCCGCGUGAGUGAAGAAGGUUUUCGGAUCGUAAAGCUCUGUUGUAAGAGAAGAACGAGUGUGAGAGUGGAAAGUUCACACUGUGACGGUAUCUUACCAGAAAGGGACGGCUAACUACGUGCCAGCAGCCGCGGUAAUACGUAGGUCCCGAGCGUUGUCCGGAUUUAUUGGGCGUAAAGCGAGCGCAGGCGGUUAGAUAAGUCUGAAGUUAAAGGCUGUGGCUUAACCAUAGUACGCUUUGGAAACUGUUUAACUUGAGUGCAAGAGGGGAGAGUGGAAUUCCAUGUGUAGCGGUGAAAUGCGUAGAUAUAUGGAGGAACACCGGUGGCGAAAGCGGCUCUCUGGCUUGUAACUGACGCUGAGGCUCGAAAGCGUGGGGAGCAAACAGG